UGUAGGUUACGACUACAAGUCACCUUGGUAGCGUUCCAGGCAAAGUCGCGACAAACCCUUCCAGCUAGUGUUAGCUAGCGGCUACAUAACAUUGACGUUAGCUAGCACUAGCUGAUACUAGCGAUUUCUAGUCAGCGACAUAUU